UGAAAACGAGCAGCGAUACCAUGUACCAAAUGUUUGCAGACUCAAAAAGGCAAGAGUAUAAGAAAUCAAUCUCAAACUUUGACGAUGUGAGUGAGGAUGCGCUUGGUAUUCUUGCCAUCGGACUUCCCACCAUGACCAGGCGAGUGGAAAGGUUUCUUGAUGGAGUGAGUAAUUACUGCUCACAUAAUCACUGUACAAUGCACCAUGAACCUACUACCAACGGCCAUAAUCAACUACUGAAUAUGUACUACCGCUGUAUUGGAUUCUCAUCAAGCCCCGGAUCCCGGACGUGUCCAUCAUCAAAGCUUGACCGUCCCCCUCAUUCCGAGUUAUGUUAUUCUUUGGUGGUUGUCACUUGUGACUUUCGAGAAUAUUAUUCGGAGCCAAUGCUGUCCAGUUCGAGGAGGGGCACUGGAGAGUGGAAGAAUGUGGCUUUCAGCAUAUGCCAGGAGCACUGAAGAAACCACCUCCAUACUUCUCCAAUACCUGACCUGGAAAAAUUCAUCUCUGAUUAUGGUGAG